AUCAAAAAAAAAAAACUUUUGGCGGGAAACUGUGCAAAAAUUUCCUCUGCCUGCGCUUGGGAAGGUCUGAGGUGUCGACUUUUAUCUCUUGGCGGGAAUCCUCUCUCACGAGGGAGCUCAGGGACCAGAAAUGACCCUUUCUCCUUGGGUUGUCGCAGGCAAUGACUUGUGACCUGCCUAGGAUCGCUCUCUCUCUCUCUCUCUCCCUGGGGGAGGGAGGAGAGAGAGGAGGAGGCAGGUUCCGAGGAGACACGGCUGGAACCAUACCUUGGGUGACACGAUGAACCAAUGUUAAGUUCAAUACACAAGGCCACACAUGACUGUGGUA
rnacentral:RNase_P_RNA from 1 species